AUGUUCAUGGCUUCAAACUUCCCCCUAACUAAAUAGGGGUUUAGUUCCUCAUGUUCACAAAACAAAGAUAAACAGAAUUAUACAUUGAAAACAAAAGAAAGAAAACACCUAAACGUUCCAACGAUCCAUGUUGGAUAGCAAGCACGUACAAGAACUUUCCUCUUCUUCUUUGCUGCAACACAAGGUUGGAGUGAUGUUUUGAAGGGUUGGUUAUGUGGAGGAAUGGAUGGGAAGGAGUUUAGAUAUGUAGGGAGAGGCAAGGCAAGGCUUGGAGAAUGGUUAAUUUCUGGAUGCCUUCAACGAGGCUGCUGCCAUGGGUAUUUAUAGGGAGAGGAUGGACUUGUUUAAUUCAAUUUUCUGGUGGAAAACAAGUAGGUGAUGUUGGAAAUAUGCCCUGAAAGUCAAUCUUUGGAAGAAAUCUUUCAGGACAAAUAAAUGAAUGUAUGGAUGAAUCUUAUACAUCAAAGGCAAAGACACGAAUUAGGACUAUCUCAAUAAACGAAAUAUGUCCUUAAUAGUGCAUCCAUGGACAAUGGAUCGAUUGAAGAAGUAAUCUAAUGAUGUUAGACUACAGAGA
rnacentral:lncRNA from 1 species